rnacentral:rRNA from 1 species
GUGCAGCAGGCGAGAAAACUUCACACUGUGCGAAAGCACGAUGAGGGAAUCCCAAGUGCUUGCACGUAAGUGUAAGCUGUUUCUCUGUCUAAAACGCAGAGAGAGUAAGGGCUGGGUAAGACGGGUGCCAGCCGCCGCGGUAAUACCUGCAGCUCAAGUGGUGACCGUUAUUAUUGGGCCUAAAACGUCCGUAGCCGGUUUAAUAAAUGCCUGGGUAAAUUGUGUAGCUUAACUAUACGAAUUCCGGGUAGACUGUUAAACUUGAGACCGGGAGAAGUUAGAGGUACUCCUGGGGUAGAGGUGAAAAUUCUGUAAUCCUAGGGGGACCACCAGUGGCGAAGGCGUCUAACUAGAACGGGUCUGACGGUGAGGGACGAAGCCCUGGGGCGCAAACGGGGAUUAGAUACCCCUGUAGU